UACGGAGGGUGCAAGCGUUGUUCGGAAUCACUGGGCGUAAAGCGUGUGUAGGCGGCCUUUUAAGUCCGAUGUGAAAGCCCGGGGCUCACCCCCGGAAGUGCAUUGGAUACUGAAGGGCUGGAGUACCGGAGAGGAGGGUGGAAUUCCUGGUGUAGCGGUGAAAUGCGUAGAUAUCAGGAGGAACACCUGUGGCGAAGGCGGCCCUCUGGACGGAUACUGACGCUGAGACGCGAAAGCGUGGGGAGCAAACAGG
rnacentral:rRNA from 1 species